CCUACGGGUGGCAGCAGUGAGGAAUAUUGGUCAAUGGCCGAGAGGCUGAACCAGCCAAGUCGCGUGAGGGAAGACGGCCCUACGGGUUGUAAACCUCUUUUGUCGGGGAGCAAAGAGAGUCACGUGUGACUCAUUGAGAGUACCCGAAGAAAAAGCAUCGGCUAACUCCGUGCCAGCAGCCGCGGUAAUACGGAGGAUGCGAGCGUUAUCCGGAUUUAUUGGGUUUAAAGGGUGCGCAGGCGGAGGUGCAAGUCAGCGGUCAAAUUGCGGGGCUCAACCCCGUACUGCCGGUGAAACGGCAUGCCUUGAGUGCGCGAGAAGUAUGCGGAAUGCGUGGUGUAGCGGUGAAAUGCAUAGAUAUCACGCAGAACUCCGAUUGCGAAGGCAGCAUACCGGCGCGCAACUGACGCUCAUGCACGAAAGCGUGGGUAUCGAACAGGAUUAGAUACCCCUGUAGUC
rnacentral:rRNA from 1 species